CCUACGGGUGGCUGCAGUGGGGAAUAUUGGACAAUGGGCGAAAGCCUGAUCCAGCCAUGCCGCGUGUGUGAAGAAGGCCUUCGGGUUGUAAAGCACUUUCAGUGGGGAAGAAAGCCUUGGGGCUAAUACCCUCGAGGAAGGACAUCACCCACAGAAGAAGCACCGGCUAACUCCGUGCCAGCAGCCGAGGUAAUACGGAGGGUGCGAGCGUUAAUCGGAAUUACUGGGCGUAAAGCGCGCGUAGGCGGUCUGAUAAGCCGGUUGUGAAAGCCCCGGGCUCAACCUGGGAACGGCAUCCGGAACUGUCAGGCUAGAGUGCAGGAGAGGAAGGUAGAAUUCCCGGUGUAGCGGUGAAAUGCGUAGAGAUCGGGAGGAAUACCAGUGGCGAAGGCGGCCUUCUGGACUGACACUGACGCUGAGGUGCGAAAGCGUGGGUAGCAAACAGGAUUAGAUACCCGGGUAGUC
rnacentral:rRNA from 1 species